rnacentral:rRNA from 1 species
GACGAACGCUGGCGGCGUGCCUAACACAUGCAAGUCGAACGAGGUCCAUGCAGUGGCAACACUGCGGACGACCUAGUGGCGAACGGGUGAGUAACACGUGAGGAACUUGCCCCGGAGACUGGGAUAAGCCCCCGAAAGGGGGUCUAAUACCGGAUGUCCUCACCGAGUCGCAUGGCUUGGUGAGGAAAUGGAUUCCGCUCCGGGAGAGCCGCGCGGCCUAUCAGCUUGUUGGUGGGGUAACGGCCCACCAAGGCAUCGACGGGUAGCUGGUCUGAGAGGACGAUCAGCCACACUGGGACUGAGACACGGCCCAGACUCCUACGGGAGGCAGCAGUGGGGAAUCUUGCGCAAUGGGCGAAAGCCUGACGCAGCAACGCCGCGUGCGGGAUGAAGGCCCUCGGGUUGUAAACCGCUUUCAGUGGGGACGAACCAAGACGGUACCCACAGAAGAAGGUCCGGCCAACUACGUGCCAGCAGCCGCCGUAA